rnacentral:lncRNA from 1 species
UCGACAUCGUCAACGUCGACAUCGGAAUCAUCCUUGAACUCCUGGAAGUCAGCCUCGAAAUCGUCGUCGAGAUCUACGACCACGGCAGGCUUGGAGUAAGGCUUGCUGACUGAUUUUGACUUGAGAUCGGGCCAGAGGAAGUCGGAGGUGAGCCUCCUAGAGGAGGUUCGUGCAGCGACGGAGGUGGGUGGUAUGAACCCGGAGAUGAUAGCACCGCCACACAUGGUCGGUGGUUGUCUUGUCGGCGGCGGCUGAUUGUGAAGUUAAACGGAUUUAGAGUUGCAGGAAGAAGAUCGAAGAUGAAAGGAAUGGGUUUUGCGCGUGUUUCUUUUGCCGUUCAGAUGAAAUGGGGAUUGAGUAAACGAGAGAAAGGUUGGAACUUGAACCAGAGUUUUUUUGAUUCCGGAAAGAAGGAGACUGAAAGAAAGGAUUUUGCAUUUUAUU